GUGUCAGCAGCCGCGGUAAUACGUAGGGGGCAAGCGUUGUCCGGAUUUACUGGGUGUAAAGGGUGCUCAGGCGGGUUUGUAAGUCAGAGGUGAAACUCCGAAGCUUAACUUCGGAACUGCCUUUGAUACUGCAUCCCUAGAGUUUGAGAGAGGCGAGUGGAAUAUCUGGUGUAGCAGUGAAAUGCGUAGAUAUCAGAUAGAACACCAAUGGCGAAGGCAGCUCGCUGGCUCAAUACUGACGCUAAAGCACGAAAGUGUGGGUAGCAAACAGGAUUAGAUACCCCUGUAGUCC
rnacentral:rRNA from 1 species